rnacentral:rRNA from 1 species
UACGGAGGGGGCUAGCGUUGUUCGGAAUUACUGGGCGUAAAGCGCACGUAGGCGGCUUUGUAAGUUAGAGGUGAAAGCCCGGGGCUCAACUCCGGAAUUGCCUUUAAGACUGCAUCGCUAGAAUUGUGGAGAGGUAAGUGGAAUUCCGAGUGUAGAGGUGAAAUUCGUAGAUAUUGGGAAGAACACCGGUGGCGAAGGCGGCUCACUGGCUCAUUACUGACGCUCAGGCGCGACAGCGUGGGGAUCAAACAGG